UUUCUGUUCCCGGGCGGCAUCGGACCCGUCGGAGAGUAAAUCCCAAGUAAGGUACCUGCCGUUGGCAGAUUUGAGCUUUCUUCUUGGACACCUAAUACCCACAGUCCUCCAGGCUCCGGUAGAUUGCAAAUGACCUGCUUUCUUUCUGUUCCCGGGUGGCAUCGACCCGUCGGAGAGUAAAUCCCAAGUAAGGUACCUGCCGUUGGCAGAUUUGAGCUUUCUUCUUGGACACCUAAUACCCACAGUCCUCCAGUAAAUCCCAAGCAAGGUACCUGCCGUCAGCAGAUUUGAGCUUUCUUCUUGGACACCUAAUACCCACAGUCCUCCAGGCUCCGGUAGAUUGCAAAUGACCUGCUUUCUUUCUGUUCCCGGGCUGCGUUCGGACCCCUGUCGGAUAGUAACUCCCAAGUAAGGUACCUGCCGUCGGCAGAUUGGAGCUUUCUUCUUGGAGACCUAAUACCCACAGUCCUCCAGGCUCCGGUAGAUUGCAAAUGACCUGCUUUCUUUCUGUUCCCGGGCUGCGUUCGGACCCCUGUCGGAGAGUAAAUCCGAAAAAAACAAACAAAGACAUGGAUUUACUGUGCAUAUUAGCAGAUCCAUACUGGAAAAUGCAUGGAGGUUUCAUAUACACCACUUACAGGUUUCCAAAGCCACAAUUUCCUUCAUAUGUUCAAACUCUUCAGGAUGCAGAAAGGCAGUGAACUCCUCCGGAGUAGCUGUCAGGUCACCAUUGAGGUCUGCAGCUUUGAAUCUUCUCUCAUCACGUGGCAGCAUCUUUUUAAAGGUGUGAUGAUCUGAAGAAUCAUGAAACUCUGCGGGGUUUCCUAGGUUUUCAGCUCCUCAGUAGUGACAAAGCCAUACCCAUCAUUGUCGAUUCGAUCAACAAUCUUCCCUAGCCUCUCCUUGCUCUCGUCCGGGGUGAGCUCGUCGAAGUUCUUGGAGUCCUCCUUGCCCAGGAAGGCCUCGUGGUCGUACUGGAAGCUCUGGUUGUCCUCAGGGGGCCGCUCGCCCAGCUCCGAGUCGGGCCGCACCACGCGCUCUUUGCGCACCGUGGGCUUGGCCCGCAGAACCCGCGGCGCCAGCACCAGCGCCAGCAGCAGCCCCAGGGCUAACCCCAGGCGGCCACCGCGCGCCAUCGUCCCGAGGAGAGGGCGGCCGGGAGGGAGACGCUGAGCGAGCGACAACAGCGGCAGCUCGGGAAUGGGGGCUCGGAGCGCGGCGGCCAAGUUUUAUGUUAUGUAUAUUUUACAAGUAAAAAAAUUUUUUCACCUCAGCCUGAACUGAACACUAGCUGACAGACGUUUUGAUUUCUUUGACCAUCACGGAAUCGUGGCCAAGCGCGGUGGCUCACAUCUGUAAUCCCAACACUUUGGGAGGUCAAGAUGGGCGGAUUGCUUGAAUCCAGGUGUUUGAGAUCAGCCUGGGCAACAUGACAAAACCCUGUUUCUAGUAAAAAUACAAAAAUUAACCAGGCUCAAGCCAUGACCAUGCACCAUUGCACUCCAGCCUAGGCGACAGA
rnacentral:lncRNA from 10 species